rfam:Schistosoma mansoni, Puerto Rico, WGS project CABG01000000 data, contig: 0041
GCAUUGCUGAGGAGUCCCAUAAUAGGACGAAACGGCAGUCUAAUGC